rnacentral:rRNA from 1 species
UACAGAGGUCUCAAGCGUUGUUCGGAUUCAUUGGGCGUAAAGGGUGCGUAGGCGGCGCGGUAAGUCGGGUGUGAAAUCUCGGAGCUUAACUCCGAAACUGCAUUCGAUACUGCCGUGCUUGAGGACUGGAGAGGAGACUGGAAUUUACGGUGUAGCGGUGAAAUGCGUAGAUAUCAGGAGGAACACCAGUGGCGAAGGCGCCGCUCUGGGCCGUGACUGACGCUGAGGUGCGAAAGCGUGGGGGAGCAAACAGG